rnacentral:rRNA from 1 species
GACGAACGCUGGCGGCGUGCUUAACACAUGCAAGUCGAACGGAAAGGCCCUGCUUUUGUGGGGUGCUCGAGUGACGAACGGGUGAGUAACCCGUGAGUAACCUGCCCUUGACUUUGGGAUAACUUCAGGAAACUGGGGCUAAUACCGGAUCGGAGCUCCUGCUGCAUGGUGGGGGUUGGAACGUUUCGGCGGUUGGGGAUGGACUCGCGGCUUAUCAGCUUGUUGGUGGGGUAGUGGCUUACCAAGGCUUUGACGGGUAGCCGGCCUGAGAGGGUCAACGGCCACAAUGGGACUGAGAUACGGCGCAGACUGCUACGGGAGGCAGCAGGGGGGAAUAUUGCACAAUGGGCGGAAGCCUGAGGCAGCAACGCCGCGUGCGUGAUGACGGCCUUCGGGUUGUAAACCGCUUUCGCCUGUGACGAAGCGUGAGUGACGGUAAUGGGUAAAGAAGCACCGGCUAACUACGUG